rnacentral:sRNA from 1 species
GUAAUCCAUUUCCCAAGCCUUUUUGUUUUGUCAUCAGAUUUUAUUUAGAGCUCAAAAGAGCCAAUUCUGAGGAAAAUUGUUUACAUAAGUGAUAUGAAGCGGUUCAGUACAAAUUUUAUGUGCCAAUUUGUCCGCAUUUACAUAUGCAGUUUGAGAAAUUAAAGAUAAAGAAAAUCUUGUGAAUUCUUCCUUAUCGGUCUUGAAUUCCUCCAAAUAAAUUGAAAACGCUGGCCAUUCGGUUGGGGAAGACACCAUCUUCACCAGGUCUGAACAGUCUGUAAAAAAUGCUACUUCUUGGUUGUCGGCACCAAUUAUACACUUCAUCGCCCAUAGUAAAGCUUCGAAUUCUGUGUGGAGUGGAGAAAGACUUCUACAAAGAUUAGCAGCUCCCAUGGUUGGCGAGUCUCCAUUUGAUGAUGUGCAAAACCACCCUAAUCCAGAAAACUUAUCGCUUCCUUUCCAAGAUCCGUCCACAAAACAACGAAAACCAGAAUAGAUUAUCGUGUGAUAUAUUCUGAACCCAAAUUUGUUUUUCCGAUCCCAUGGAACCGUUAUCUUCGGUAUUGAGCUCUAAUUGAGCUUACUGCCAUGAUUGUGCCUCUUUUCUGCUAAAUAUAAUACGUCUAACGGAUCUUUAUCCACAUUUUCAAAUAUUUUUUCGUUCCUUGCUUUCCAUAUAUACCAGAUUAUCCUUGGAAAUGAAGAUGAAUCAACUUUUGAAGGUAUUCUUGAGAAGAUCCAAAUUCGUAAAAAUAGAAUCCGUAGGAAAAAUUCCUGGAACCGUAGGAAUCUUUGAGAGAGCCCAUAUCUGUCUCGCCGGAUGACAUUGGAAAAGGGUAUGGUUUAUUGUCUCCGUAAUAGCGCCACAUCUGACACAUCCUGUAUCACAAUUUAUACCUCUUCUUCGUAAAUUCUCUGUGACAGGUACACAAUCUGACAAUGUUUGAUCCAUUUCCCAAGCCUUAUAGUCGAGAUAUGAAUAUAAUCGCAAUAAUAAGCACUAUUUGGACUGAAACCAUGUUGACUGCUAUGUUAGCAGAUUUUCCUUAAGGUGAAAGAUAUGAAUUUAGAAAAGUUUUAUAAAGGUUUAGAUAUGUAUGAAAACAUUUGGCUUAUAAAGGUAAUCUAUUUUUGAUAACCAAGUCUUAUGAUAUCAUGCAUUCACCUUUUAUUAAUACGGUAGUAUAGUGUGUUUGUUCAUGUGUUCUAAUGCAAGGGGUAAGCCAAAUAUUUAUA